ensembl:lncRNA SNHG17 small nucleolar RNA host gene 17
AUUUCUGCCCAUGUUUGCCUUCCUUUCUGCUUCUGGCAGGGAGUGGAACAUCCCGAGAGCCAAGUUCCCAGAUGCCAGCCAAGGGCCAUCUGACCUGUUUUGAAUCUCAAUUUCCUGAUACAGAAAACAAAGGAUUGUCAGCUGACCUCUGUCCUGUGUGCCCAGUGGCCCCAGGUGACGUGUCUUCAAGAAGAGGCUGAGCUGCGGUGCUUGUAAGGGUCUCAUUCUGUCACCCAGGCUGGAGUGCAGUGGUGCAAUGAUGGCUCACUGCAGCCUCGACCUGGGCUCAAGUGAUCCUCCACCUCAGCUUCCUGAGUAGCUGGGACCACAGAGUCAUGUGCUGUUCCUGGGGCUUGGAUGAUGUAGGGGAAGCAAGGUGAAAGUGGUAUCCCGUGGUUCCACGUUCUGUCCUGCUGUGGGGCUGUCCCUCACAUGCUUUCAGUGGCUGUUGCAGAGGAAGAGCCUCCGGAAAUCUGCGUGGGUAAAGUCUCAGCCUUAGAUCCAAGGACAGUCCAAGGAAGUCCUAAGACCAUGGAGUUGGUGAUCUGGGAUCUGGGUUUGCUGAUAUUUCUCACCGUGAAUCUCUUGGUGGUGUUUGUGGGCACGAGAGGGGCAGAGAAUGGAGAGUGAGGCUACCACAUGAAGCGUCACCAGAGCUGCUCCCUGCUGCCUGCUCAGAGCACCCCGGAUCCACUGUUCAAUCUGCACAAGAUUCGGGGUCCAGACAUGGGAGACUUCAGCUGCCUCAGAGGACCGUGGACAGGGAAGGCCAGCCUCGCAUCCCUCUGUCCAUGCCUGGAAUGACUUUAAUAACCAAGAGUUUUAUUUUUGAAUUUGUAGCUGUCGUUCACUUUUUACCCACCCAUUCAAUAAACCUUACAGAAUUGC